rnacentral:rRNA from 1 species
GCACUGUAGUCAGAGUUUGAUCCUGGCUCAGGAUGAACGCUGGCGGCGUGCCUAACACAUGCAAGUCGAACGGUUAAGACGGCUCCGGCCGUGAAUAGAGUGGCGAACGGGUGAGUAACACGUGACCAACCUGCCCUCCGCACCGGGACAACCGGGGGAAACCCCGGCUAAUACCGGACGAUCCCGGGGCCCCGCAUGGGGCCCGGGCGAAGCCCAGGCGGCGGGGGAUGGGGUCGCGGCCCAUUAGGUAGACGGCGGGGCAACGGCCCACCGUGCCGACGAUGGGUAGCCGGGUUGAGAGACCGACCGGCCACAUUGGGACUGAGAUACGGCCCAG